GAUGUUGAUAUAGUGCUUGCUAUGUGAAUUGUUGUAUGUCUUAUUGAAUGGUAGGGGUCAGUGAACAUGGUGUUGCAAAAUGCAAGUGCACUGGAGAUCUGCCGAGUGCCCUAUAGGUGGCAGUGUAGUUGGAUACUGAUUGGUAUGUGAAAUGUUGUUUGUCUGUUGACCUAUAGGUGUAAGUGUUUUGGUGUUUGUAAAACCCCAUGAAAAUUGUCAAUGUACUUGACAGACCUGUAGGUGGCAGUGUUGAUAGAACCACUGUUGGUCUUGAUGUGAAAUGUAAAUUAAACCUGAAUUUGAGCCCGUGCUGGAGUUUCAUUUAUGGUUUAUGGUUAUGUUUAACCCCGUAAGGACCAAACUUCUGGAAUAAAAGGGAAUCAUGACACGUCACACAUGUCUUGUGUCCUUAAGGGAUUAAAACAAUCUUAUGUGUAAUUUAUAUUGGCUGGUAAAUUGUAUAUGAC